UGAGCAACCUGCCCCCUACUUCGGGAUAAGCCUUGGAAACGAGGUCUAAUACCGGAUAUGAGCACCUGCCGCAUGGUGGGUGUUGGAAAGUUUUUCGGUGGGGGAUGGGCUCGCGGCCUAUCAGCUUGUUGGUGAGGUAAUGGCUCACCAAGGCGACGACGGGGUAGCCGGCCUGAGAGGGCGAUCGGCCACACUGGGACUGAGACACGGCCCAGACCUCCGUACGGGGAG
rnacentral:rRNA from 1 species